rfam:Donghicola sp. JL3646 contig9, whole genome shotgun sequence.
GCCCAGAUGGCGGAAUUGGUAGACGCGCUGGCUUCAGGUGCCAGUGACCGCAAGGUCGUGGAGGUUCGAGUCCUCUUCUGGGCA